rnacentral:misc_RNA from 1 species
UCCGGCUUAACGCCGGCAGUCUCCCUAGAGUGCCCAACUGAAUGGUGGCAACUAAGAACAAGGGUUGCGCUCGUUGCGGGACUUAACCCAACAUCUCACGACACGAGCUGACGACAGCCAUGCAGCACCUGUGUUUCGAUUCCCUUUCGGGCACACCCACCUCUCAGCAGGCUCUCGAACAUGUCAAGGGUAGGUAAGGUUGUUCGCGUUGCAUCGAAUUAAUCCACAUCAUCCACCGCUUGUGCGGGUCCCCGUCAAUUCCUUUGAGUUUUAACCUUGCGGCCGUACUCCCCAGGCGGGAUGCUUAAUGCGUUAGCUUCGGCACGGACGGAGUCGACACCGCCCACACCUAGCAUCCAUCGUUUACGGCGUGGACUAC